AUCCAUCAGAGUAUCAAUGUUCUUCCUCUCUCUCCUCCCCUCUCACUGCAGACAUGAAACACUGGCUGAGAAACAUCCUGAUUCUGACUCUCUGGCUAGAGUGUAAAGGAGCAGACAGAGUGAUCCAGCCAACAGGAGAUGUCAUUGCUGCUGAAGGAGACACAGUCACACUGGACUGCACAUUUGAGACCAGUGACCCAAAUUAUUAUCUCUUCUGGUACAAACAGGAUGGAAACAACAGCCCCAAAUUCAUGCUGAACCGUCCAAAGUUUGGUGCAGGGAACACAGAGAAGGAAUAUGAGGACAGAUUUUCAUCCACACUGGAUUCCACCUCAAACUCAGUUCCUCUGAAGAUCCAGAAGCUUCAGCUGUCUGACUCUGCUGUGUACUACUGUGCUCUGCAGCCCACAGUGACAGGAAACACCAAAACUCUGUACAAAAACCUUUGGAGCAAAGACAACACAAUACUCCACAACAUCCACUAGAGGGAGUC